rnacentral:rRNA from 1 species
AGUCAGUAGAAAUGUUGAAUAAUACCCCAUACGAUCUUAUUGUAUCAUUACAUAAAGAAGAAAGCUUCGGCGGUAGAAGAUGGGCAUGCGUCCUAUUAGUUAGUUGGUGAGGUAACGGCUCACCAAGACUACGAUAGGUAGGGGCCCUGAGAGGGGGAUCCCCCACACUGGUACUGAGACACGGACCAGACUCCUACGGGAGGCAGCAGUGAGGAAUAUUGGACAAUGGAGGCAACUCUGAUCCAGCCAUGCCGCGUGCAGGAAGACUGCCCUAUGGGUUGUAAACUGCUUUUAUACAGGAAGAAACCUACUUACGUGUAAGUAGCUGACGGUACUGUAAGAAUAAGGAUCGGCUAACUCCGUGCCAGCAGCCGCGGUAAUACGGAGGAUCCAAGCGUUAUCCGGAAUCAUUGGGUUUAAAGGGUCCGUAGGUGGUUUAUUAAGUCAGAGGUGAAAUCCCAUAGCUUAACUAUGGAACUGCCUUUGAUACUGAUAGACUUGAGUUAUUGUGAAGUGGUUAGAAUGUGUAGUGUAGCGGUGAAAUGCAUAGAUAUUACACAGAAUACCGAUU